ACUGCGGAGGAUCUUA
rnacentral:rRNA from 1 species